AUGGAUGAUUGCUGGGCAGAAUUGAACAGGGAUUACCAGGGUAACCUGGUUCCAAAUAAAAGAACAUUCCCCUCUGGCAUCAAGGCGCUUGCAGAUUAUGUGCACGCCAAAGGGUUGAAGCUCGGCAUCUACAGUGAUGCUGGGACACAAACAUGUACUAAACAAAUGCCAGGAUCGCUCGAUCACGAAGAGCAAGAUGUGAGGACGUUCGCGUCUUGGGGAGUUGAUUAUCUGAAGUACGACAACUGCAACGAUGCUGGGAGGAGCGUCAGGGAAAGAUACACUAGGAUAAGCAACGCCAUGAAGAAAUACGGGAAGAACAUCUUCUUCUCAAUCUGUGAGUGGGGAAUCGAAAACCCUGCUACAUGGGCACGUGGCAUGGGUGGUAAUAGCUGGAGGACAACCGCGGACAUUGCUGACAACUGGGACAGCAUGACAUCACGCGCGGACCAGAAUGACAGAUGGGCCUCCUAUGCCGGACCUGGCGGAUGGAAUGAUCCUGAUAUGCUUGAAGUUGGAAAUGGUGGGAUGUCCGAAGCUGAGUACCGCUCGCACUUCAGCAUCUGGGCACUUGCCAAGGCUCCUCUUCUGAUCGGGUGCGACGUGCGCUCGAUGAGCCCGCAGACAAAGAACAUAAUCAGCAAUUGGGAGGUCGUCGCUGUCAACCAAGAUAGACUAGGCGUGCAGGGAAAGAAAGUGCAAUCCGAUGCUGGUUUGGAGGUUUGGGCCGGACCGCUCAGCGGCAACAGAAAGGCCGUGGUUCUAUGGAAUAGGCAGGGGUACCAAGCAACCAUAACCGCACACUGGUCAAACGUCGGGCUUCCAGCAUCUGCGUCCGUCACCGCUCGCGAUCUAUGGGCGCACUCGUCAUUCUCUGCUCAGGGGAAGCUAUCUGCAUCAGUGGCGCCUCAUGACUGCAAGAUGUACAUCCUAACACCCAAGUAA
rnacentral:rRNA from 1 species